AUGGCCGGAGACCAGCUCCCGAGGAAGGUGAUGGACGCCAAGAAGCUGGCCAGCCUGCUGCGGGGCGGGCCUGGGGGGGCCUGGUCAUCGAUAGCCGCUCCUUACUGGAGUACAACAGCUGGCAUGUGCUCAGCUCCGUCAACAUCUGCUGCUCCGAGCUGGUGAAGUGGCGGCUGCAGAAGGGCAACGUGACCACUGUGGAGUUCAUCCAGCCGGCCACACGCAGCCAGGUGGAGGCCACAAAGCCACAGGACGUGGUGGUCUAUGACCAGAGCACAGGGGACGCCAGCGUGCUGGCUGCAUACAGCUUCCUCUCCAUCCUGCUGAGCAAGCUGGACGGCUGCUUCGGGCAGCGUGGCCAUCCUCGCAGGGGGCUUCGCCACCUUCUCCUCCUGUUUCCCUGGCCUCUGCCAGGGCAAGCCUGCUGCCCUGCUACCCAUGAGCCUCUCCAUCCCUGCCUGCCCCUGCCCAGCGUGGGCCUGACCUACAUCCUGCCUCACCUCUACCUGGGCUCACCGAAAGACGUCCUGAACAAGGAUCUGAUGACGCAGAAUGGAAUAAGCUACGUCCUCAAUGCCAGCAACUCCUGCCCCAAGCCUGACUUCAUCUACCAGAGCCGCUGCAUGCGGGUUCCCAUCAACGACAACUACUAUGAAAAGCUGCUGCCCUGGCUGGACAAGUCUGUCGACUUCAUCUAUAAACCCAAGCUGUCCAGCUGCCAAGUCAUCGUCCACUGUCUGGUCGGCAUCUGCCACUGUGCAACCAUCGCCAUCGCCUAUAUCAUGAAGACCAUGGGCAUGUCCGCCAACGACGCCUACAGGUUCAUGAAGUACCGGCGUCCGUCCGUCUCGCCCAGCUUCAACUUCCUGGGCCAGCUGCUGAAGUAGGAGCGCAGCCUGAAGCUGCCGGCCGCCCCCCGGGACGAUGAGGGCACCCCCUCAGGGACGCCGGAGCCUCCGCCCAGCCCUGCGGCCGGGGACCCCGCUGCCACGGCUGCCACCACCUACCUCAGAGAGCGCUGCCACCAGGAGUGCGUCUCCCAGGGAGGGCUGCCCGAGCGCAGGCGGGGAGCCCCCACGCCCCCAGCCACCAGCGCGCUGCAGCAGGGCCUGCGUGGCCUGCACCUCUUCUCAGACCGCCUACAGGAUACCAACAGCUUCAAGCGCUCCUUCUCGCUGUACAUCAAGUUAGCGAACACCCCCAGGCUGGUCCCCCGACCCCGGCGAGGCCCCGAAACUCUGGAAGCUGCACAGCCCGUCGAGGCCGCGCUGAGCCUGCCCUUGCCCAGCCGGGGCGGCCCCAGGCGCCAGUUCCCAGUCGGCUGCCCCUUCCGUCCGCACUCCCCAGCGCACAGCCUGGGCCUGAACUUCAGCAACGAGGCCCGGCAGACUCCGCUGCACGGCCUCUAGGCCCUGUCUGCACCCAGGCUGCCCGGCCCUGGCCAGCUGGCUGGCCCCGAAGCCUGGACGCCACCGCUCGACUCCCCGGGCAAGCAGUCGCCCGACAGGCCCUGGUGCUUCAGCCCCGAGGGCGCGCAGGGAGCAGGCAGAGUGCUGUUUGCGCCCUUAGGCAGGGCGGGCGCCCCGGGACCAGGGCAGGUCGCUGCCGCCGCGGGAGGCAGCGAGGACCGAGCCCCGGACGCUCUGACCGGUUGGCCCGACGAGCUGGUCCCGGCAGUUCAAGUGCCGCAGCUGCCAGAUGGAGUUAGAGGAGGGCAUCAUGGAGGGGCGCGCGCGCCCAGCGAGGAGCUGGCUGCCCUGGGCAAGCAGGCGAGCUUCUCGGGCAGCGUGGAGGUCAUCGAGGUGUCCUGACCCCUCCGCUGCCCUCGGCUCUGCCGCCCGCAGCCGGGCCCGUUACAAAUAUUUAUUAGAUAUAAUGCAAAGAAAGGUAAACGGUUUCACUGUGGUUGUUAUCGAGAAGUAAAUAUUUCUAUUGUUUAUUUAUUUAAGCUGUUCAUUCUGGCAAUGAUUUGGCAACAGUGCAGGUGGUCCUCGAGCUCUAUUUUUACUGUCUGGUAUUUAAACUGAAACACACGUUUCUAAGCAAUACAAGGCCACCUUCAGUCGCAAGCUGGGUGCCAGGCCUGGGGCCCCUCCCAGUUCCCCCGCCCCUGGAAACACUGCUGAUGUUUGCAUAGGCUGCCGAGCUUUCGUGCACUUUUUACACAAGAACAAGGUAAAAAAAGGAAAAAAAAAAAACACACACAAAAACAUAUUUGCCACAAACUGAGCCGCAGAUCCCCCCUUCUUCCGCCACCCACUUCCCCUGCUCUCUCCUUUGGGGCUCUGCACCAAAGCCAUAGGUUGGGGAAGCAGGAACUGGUGUGCCCCAGAGAGAUGCGACCAGCCCUCUACCAGCUCCAAGCACCAAAUCUUGAUGGCAGGGAGGGCACCCCGCUGCCCGUUGCUCCAGAGCUGUUCCCUCUCGGGGAAGGACAGGCAUUGGGCCCCAUGGUGCCAGGGUGUUCAGAGGGGCUGAGGUAUAGAACAGAGUGUGUAGGGGUUUGGGGCAGGGGCCUCUGGAGCAUCAGAUGAGGUAGAGCCCAGGGGAGGAUGGGGUGUUAAUGCCCCCCACUCCUGCCAGAGCCCCAGUCCAGCCACUGAGUGGCUCAGAAAGGCCAUUCCCAGAGGGCUGCGGCCCUCCCUUCUCCUUUGCCCAUGCCCCCAGAGCUGCCUGCCGGGCAGGGCGGCACUACUGCAGGAGAGGAGCUUGGCCUCAUGGGGUCAGGCAGGAGGGGCCUGGCUAGCCAGUGCUGGCUCCAUUGGGCAGGGAGCCCUGGACCGCAAGGUAUGAGGAGGCGGUGGGCUUAGGGUCCUAUUCCAGGUCUGUCCCCCACCUAGCAAGGCCCCAGGCAGGACUUGGAAAUCAGGUGUGCACCUGCAGGCUGAGGGGCUCCAUGAGCAGGUGCUGCCUCGCACAGGGAGUUCAGGUGCCAACCAAGCCCCUGUGCUUCUGGGGUAGACCUGCUUCACUUAGGGAGCGCUGCCUCAAGGCAGAUAAAGCCCACUUGUUUGCCCCGACCCGCAUGGGGGCCUCUCAGGAGAGAAACUCUUGUGCGCCCCUUUCCCAGGGCAGCUCUCUCUAGGCAGCAUGCCAGCCCCCAAAUGGUGGCUUUUGGGCCCAGGUGGGUCAGCCUGCUGCCCCUGCCCCAUACCCUCUCGGGCCGUUGGGACCCCUGCCCUUCAGAUGUCCUAGGGUCUAGGACUGAGCCAGCCACCCUGGGAAGAGGCCAGGGCCUUGGCAGGAGGGGCACCCAGGCAGGACCCAGACCUGAGUCCAGGAGCAGGGCCAGGGAGGCGCCCGCCCUGGCCCGGCCAGCCGCCCUCUCUGUGGUUUCUUCUAUUUGUUCUUCUUUUCACUCACAGCCCUGUGUUCCUAUCAUCCCUCCUUUCAGCAAAGUCCUGUUCCCUUUCCCUCUGUCCCAACCCACUCCUGUUCCCCAACAAAAUAAGCUAUCGUUGUUGUAUUCGCAAUCUAUGGAUUAAAGGUUGAAGUAUUUAUUAUUAUUGCUUAAUUAUUAUUAUGUAAAAUAUAUAUAUAUAUAUAUGAACUUGGCUAGCCAAUGUUAUUGAACAAUUCCUCUUCAAUAAAAUGUUGUUUAACGUACAGUUUAGAAAACGAUGGUAGGUUUAUUUCUUGAACUUUCAGAAAUUCAAGCUUAAAGCAUCACGUUUUUCUAAAAUUGUGUGGUGCUUUCUGUCAUUUUACUUUUGUAAACUUUAUAUGGAAUAGCAACCAUCAGUCUUCU